GGGUCAGUAGGUUGGUCGUGCCACCGGUACGUACUGGUCUCACUGAUUCCUCCUUCCUGAAGAACCGUAAUGCCAUUAAUUUGGUGUUGCGGGGAAACAGGACUGUUACUUUGAAAAAAUUAGAGUGCUUAAAGCAAGCUAACGCUUGAAUACAUUAGCAUGGAAUAAUGGAAUAGGACGAUCGAUCCUAUUUUGUUGGUUUCUAGGAUUGACGUA
rnacentral:rRNA from 1 species